AAUCAACGCUGGCGGCGUGCCUAACACAUGCAAGUCGAACGAGAAAGGGGAGCAAUCCCUGAGUAAAGUGGCGACCGGGUGAGUAACACGUGACCAAUCUACCUUCGAGUGGGGGAUAACUCCGGGAAACCGGAGCUAAUACCGCAUAACAUCUUUGGAACGCGAGUUCCGUUGAUCAAAGCAGCAAUGCGCUGGAAGAGGAGGUCGCGGCUGAUUAGCUAGUUGGCGGGGUAAUGGCCCACCAAGGCUUAGAUCGGUAGCCGGCCUGAGAGGGCGCACGGCCACACUGGAACUGAAACACGGUCCAGACUCCUACGGGAGGCAGCAGUGGGGAAUUUUGCGCAAUGGGGGAAACCCUGACGCAGCAACGCCGCGUGGAGGAUGAAGUCCCUUGGGACGUAAACUCCUUUCGACCCCGACGAUAAUGACGGUACGGGUGGAAGAAGCACCGGCUAACUCUGUGCCAGCAGCCGCAGUAAAAC
rnacentral:rRNA from 1 species